rnacentral:rRNA from 1 species
UACGAAGGGGACGAGCGUUGUUCGGAAUUACUGGGCGUAAAGGGCGCGUAGGCGGCGACCCAAGUCAGAUGUGAAAGUCCUGGGCUUAACCUGGGGACUGCAUUUGAUACUGGGUUGCUUGAAUUCGGGAGAGGAUAGCGGAAUUCCCAGUGUAGAGGUGAAAUUCGUAGAUAUUGGGAAGAACACCGGUGGCGAAGGCGGCUAUCUGGACCGACAUUGACGCUGAGGCGCGAAAGCGUGGGGAGCAAACAGG